UAACAAAUUGUUUUAAUAUAAGUAUGUCUGUACAAUAUUUGGGGCAUACUUAUGCUGAAAAUGAUUUGUAAUUUAUCUAAAAUUCAAAUUUAACUAGGCAUCCUGUGUUUUAUGUGGCAACCCUAAUCCAUGGGUGUGUAAGUGUAUCAUAGCUCUGCAGCCUCCUGAGAGGGGUGAUGCUUUUGUUAUGAUUUAGACUGGGAGAGGGCAUUGGGGGUCUGGAAAUGGAGUUGGCCUGAGAGCCUGUCUAGUCUAGGGCCCCCAUUUCACAGACCAGAGAAUGAAAGAAUGUGCCCAAGUUCACACAGCAGUGGGAGCAGCAAAGGGGAGGCUGGAACUCGGGGCCCCAGAUUCCCAGGCCCCCUCCUGUGCCAGCAACUCUCUGCUCUGGGCUGAUGGAACAGCUCAGGUUCCCACUCCCCUGCCCCUGACCUGCCCUUCGCUGGCUUCAGAGGGGGGGUCUGAUGACGAAAUGUGAUCCUGCCAUAAAAUCUAUACCAAACCAACUCUUCUCACAGCCCACCCGCCCGCCUCAAAGGGGGGCGCCUAAUCCCCAUUUAUGGAGCCAAGCAGCUGGGCCCGGCCUGAGUCUUUGAACGUGAGCUUGGGGUACCCUGGGUCAGCCCAGUCUUGGCAAGAGGAACCUGAGAGUGAGGGUAUUUAGGGAAGCUGAGCAAGCUGAGGGGCCAGCCGGUCCCACGCCACCCAGCCCAAAGAGCACCAGUUAGGGUGAGAGCAUAAAUCAGAGUGGCUGAAGGCAGAGUGUCCCCGUGGACACAUCUUUCAGGGUGUGUUCCUGAAGACUGGACUUUAUUCCAGCAGCCGAGGAGAGACACUGGAGGUUUAAAACAGAGGGGAACAUGGUCCUAUUAGAAAGAUGGAUUGGAGACCCCUUAGUGAGAUAACUCUGGAAGUUAUUUGGGCAGAAUGAUUAAGUUCUGACUCAGAAUGGUGGUGGGAUGGAGAGAAGUGGAGAGAGAGCGGAGAGGUGUCAGGAGGUAGUGUCUGGACAGCUCGGGCUCUAAGGAGUCAUAGGGAUGCCUGCUGUCUGGUUGGGGUGUUGUGGUGGGCAGAGGUGCUGCUACAGACAAGGAACAUUAGGGAAGGUGCAGGAAGACGCUGACUGGCCUUUGAAGAUGCUGAGAAGGAGGAGCCUGUGGGGCAGCCAGCAGGGAUGCAGAGGAAGGUGAGAGCCUGGGGUCAAGGAAGAGAGUUGGGAUGGAGAUGCCGAGUUGGGCAUUAUCAGCCUAUGGACCUUGAGACUACGAUUACUGAGGGGAAAAGAGAAGAGAAGAGGGUCGAGGAGUGAGCCCUGGGGAACACCAACACUAAGAGCUAGGCAGAAACGGGAGGGCCCACAGAGGAGAUUAAGAAGGCAGGCCAUAGAGGAAGGAGGAAAACCAGGAGAAGAUGAGGAUGUGAGA
rnacentral:lncRNA from 10 species